rnacentral:rRNA from 1 species
UACGGAGGGUGCGAGCGUUGUCCGGAAUCAUUGGGCGUAAAGGGCGCGUAGGUGGCCCGGUCAGUCUUUGGUGAAAGCGCGGGGCUCAACCCUGCGUCGGCCAGGGAUACUGCCGCGGCUCGAGCACUGUAGAGGCAGGCGGAAUUCCGGGUGUAGCGGUGGAAUGCGUAGAGAUCCGGAAGGACACCGGUGGCGAAGGCGGCCUGCUGGGCAGUUUUGCUGACACUGAGGCGCGACAGCGUGGGGAGCAAACAGG